CAUGGUUAAAUAAAACUGUACCCAGGAUAACCCUGAUUUCCAUAUGCAGAUUUAUCUGCACUGACAGCCCCCUUUCCCUCUCUCAGUCUCUCUGUUUUCUCUCUCUUUCUCUCUCUACACUGUGUCUGUCUGGUUUUCAGGGCACCUUUAUUUUUUUAUUUCUCUCAAACGCACAGGCUCAAAUAUCCAGACAAAGAUGCAAGGUGGUUGCUGCAGUCACUGUCUUUGGGAAAAAAGCUCAUCAUUGCAAUGCCAUUUUUUCACUCGGGCUCGGUGGUUAAACUUCCCCAGGAUGGAGCUGGAAAAGGAGCUGGAAAUAAACAGGAUUGGGGGAGAUCACAUUGCUGCAGCUGCAGCCAGCGGUGGCCACUGCCAGACGUGACCGGGUUUCUGGGGUCCUUGACAUUAAAAAGCAACGUGAGAAAAUAUUCGGAGACAAAAGCUGCAGCCUAAAUGAUAAUUUUCUUUAUUUAACAUGGCAGCAGGCGCCGUGCGUGGGGAGGAUCAACAUGCUGCAUGUUCAGUUGGACUUCUCUCCCUGGCUCCCUUCGAGGAUGAAAGGAGAUAAUGUAAUCUAUCCUGUGCCAAAUAGGGACCCGAGAGCAAUGAACAUAUGGCUGUUUCUAUUAGUGCUAGUGUAUUUUCAGCGAUGCCUGUCAACAUCCACCAGAGAGCAGGGCAGCUCCAAUACCUACAUCUUUUAUGCUGUAGAAAUCAAUGGGGACAGUAACACAGCCAGCUUCUUGACCAAACAACAUGGAUUGCAGUUCAUUUCAAAGGUCAGCGCAUAUUUAAACUUGCUUCAUUACUCCUACCUUUAUGCUUGAGAUUUUCAUUUUUUUAAAAUCAGUUUACCUAGAGGUUUCUUUAGAGACAGAAAAAUGAAAGUGCUGAGUCCUAUUUUCAUUUGGGGAUAUCAAGCUUUUUAUCAAAUUAUAGAGGUGGUGUUUCAGAAUAUUUCAUAUCUGAUCAGAAGGAAAAUCCAAAAAUAAUUUUCUCUUUAUUCAGGAGUCUUUCAGGCAGUAGGACUGUUUUAUUUAUUACUUAAUAUUGUGCUCUAGUCAAUCAUUUUGAAUCCAGACAGGAAAAUAGAAUUUUUAUUUUAAAAGAAAAAAAAACCUAAGGAAAAAUACUAUUAGAAUAAAGUAGAGUUUUUUUUAAAGCA
rnacentral:lncRNA from 1 species